rnacentral:lncRNA from 1 species
AUACGAAGAAGCCAAUGGUAGCGGAAUAUAGAAAUAUUGUAGGAUACAAGAGACAUAGAACACACAUGGGAUGAUGAUCAUCUCAGUGGAACUUGAGGCUGGUCAAGACGUUGUUGUUGACGGGAUCCGCCAAGUGAUCAAGCAGGUUCUGGUAAGGCCCGACUCCGGUCACUAGUCCCUGGAUGAAGUAACCGAGGAUGGCGAGCAUAGCCAGUCUACCGUUCUUGACCUCCUUGAGUUUCAACUCUUUCAUUGACUUCUCAUCUUUCCCAAACCCAAGAGGGUUGAAGAAAGGUCCACCGGGGUAUGAUGGGUCACCUGAACCGGCCAAACCCUUCUCUAACCCCAAGAAGUACUGUUUCCCCAUAGAUCCUGGGUUGUACCAGUCCUGUAACCUCCUGUGCUCAGCAAAUCCCAUCAGAGCCAUCUCAAGAACAAAGAGUGUGUAAUUGUCUGCCCAGUAGCUGUAUGUCCCUGCAGGUGGAAUCACACCGGUUUGGAACCAGGGAAGAGCUGUCUCUGCGGGAAUCAGACCAGCCUUUCCUAGAAUCUCAGGAGCAAUAGCUCCAGCUGCACCCAACAUGGCGAACCGUCCGUUGAUGAUCUCUCCGUAUGCUAGCCAUCUCGGCUCAAUGAAUCCUCCGGUUCCCUCUGGGUCUGAGAGACCAAGUGGGUCGAAUCCAUAGUCACCAGGUAAGCUGUAAGAAUCACAACAUUUCCAAAUCUUUUGAACAUCAUGUAAGUUCUCAAAGCAAUCAAAUCCAACAGUGUAUUUAAGAAUUACCUGCCAUCCAAGUAAGUGAGACUCUGCGAUGAUGCAAACCACAAUGGUCUGUUUGCUCCUUGCUGAGAUACCAAAACACACAAAAAUCAAGAUCAGGUUAUGUAAUGCAUAUAGAGAGACAGAGAAAGAGAUAGAUCUGUGUGAAAGAUACCUUGACAGGUGGAGUUGAAGCAGCCUUAACAACAAAGGAGCUCUUCUUCUGUGAGGCAGACACAGCUGGUUUUGAGCCAAAAAUCUGUCUAGCUGUCUGAACAGAGGAG